rnacentral:rRNA from 1 species
GGGUUGUGAGGUUAAGCGACUAAGCGUACACGGUGGAUGCCCUGGCAGUCAGAGGCGAUGAAGGACGUGCUAAUCUGCGAAAAGCGUCGGUAAGGUGAUAUGAACCGUUAUAACCGGCGAUGUCCGAAUGGGGAAACCCAGUGCAAUUCGUUGCACUAUCGUUAACUGAAUACAUAGGUUAACGAGGCGAACCGGGGGAACUGAAACAUCUAAGUACCCCGAGGAAAAGAAAUCAACCGAGAUUCCCCCAGUAGCGGCGAGCGAACGGGGAGCAGCCCAGAGUCUGAAUCAGCUUGUGUGUUAGUGGAACGGUCUGGAAAGUCCGACGGUACAGGGUGAUAGUCCCGUACACCAAAAUGCACAGGCUGUGAACUCGAAGAGUAGGGCGGGACACGUGGUAUCCUGUCUGAAUAUGGGGGGACCAUCCUCCAAGGCUAAAUACUCCUGACUGACCGAUAGUGAACCAGUACCGUGAGGGAAAGGCGAAAAGAACCCCGGCGAGGGGAGUGAAAAAGAACCUGAAACCGUGUACGUACAAGCAGUGGGAGCACCUUCGGGUGUGACUGCGUACCUUUUGUAUAAUGGGUCAGCGACUUAUAUUCUGUAGCAAGGUUAACCGUAUAGGGGAGCCGCAGGGAAACCGAGUCUUAACUGGGCGUUAAGUUGCAGGGUAUAGACCCGAAACCCGGUGAUCUAGCCAUGGGCAGGUUGAAGGUUGGGUAACACUAACUGGAGGACCGAACCGACUAAUGUUGAAAAAUUAGCGGAUGACUUGUGGCUGGGGGUGAAAGGCCAAUCAAACCGGGAGAUAGCUGGUUCUCCCCGAAAGCUAUUUAGGUAGCGCCUCGUGAACUCAUCUUCGGGGGUAGAGCACUGUUUCGGCUAGGGGGUCAUCCCGACUUACCAACCCGAUGCAAACUACGAAUACCGAAGAAUGUUAUCACGGGAGACACACGGCGGGUGCUAACGUCCGUCGUGAAGAGGGAAACAACCCAGACCGCCAGCUAAGGUCCCAAAGUCAUGGUUAAGUGGGAAACGAUGUGGGAAGGCACAGACAGCCAGGAUGUUGGCUUAGAAGCAGCCAUCAUUUAAAGAAAGCGUAAUAGCUCACUGGUCGAGUCGGCCUGCGCGGAAGAUGUAACGGGGCUAAACCAUGCACCGAAGCUGCGGCAGCGACACUAUGUGUUGUUGGGUAGGGGAGCGUUCUGUAAGCCUGCGAAGGUGUGCUGUGAGGCAUGCUGGAGGUAUCAGAAGUGCGAAUGCUGACAUAAGUAACGAUAAAGCGGGUGAAAAGCCCGCUCGCCGGAAGACCAAGGGUUCCUGUCCAACGUUAAUCGGGGCAGGGUGAGUCGACCCCUAAGGCGAGGCCGAAAGGCGUAGUCGAUGGGAAACAGGUUAAUAUUCCUGUACUUGGUGUUACUGCGAAGGGGGGACGGAGAAGGCUAUGUUAGCCGGGCGACGGUUGUCCCGGUUUAAGCAUGUAGGCUGGUUGUCCAGGCAAAUCCGGAUAAUCAAGGCUGAGGUGUGAUGACGAGGCACUACGGUGCUGAAGUAACAAAUGCCCUGCUUCCAGGAAAAGCCUCUAAGCAUCAGGUAACAUUAAAUCGUACCCCAAACCGACACAGGUGGUCAGGUAGAGAAUACCAAGGCGCUUGAGAGAACUCGGGUGAAGGAACUAGGCAAAAUGGUGCCGUAACUUCGGGAGAAGGCACGCUGGUGUGUAGGUGAAGCCCCUGCGGGUGGAGCUGAGACCAGUCGAAGAUACCAGCUGGCUGCAACUGUUUAUUAAAAACACAGCACUGUGCAAACACGAAAGUGGACGUAUACGGUGUGACGCCUGCCCGGUGCCGGAAGGUUAAUUGAUGGGGUUAUCCGUAAGGAGAAGCUCUUGAUCGAAGCCCCGGUAAACGGCGGCCGUAACUAUAACGGUCCUAAGGUAGCGAAAUUCCUUGUCGGGUAAGUUCCGACCUGCACGAAUGGCGUAAUGAUGGCCAGGCUGUCUCCACCCGAGACUCAGUGAAAUUGAACUCGCUGUGAAGAUGCAGUGUACCCGCGGCAAGACGGAAAGACCCCGUGAACCUUUACUAUAGCUUGACACUGAACAUUGAGCCUUGAUGUGUAGGAUAGGUGGGAGGCUUUGAAGCGUGGACGCCAGUCUGCGUGGAGCCAACCUUGAAAUACCACCCUUUAAUGUUUGAUGUUCUAACGUUGGCCCCUGACCGGGGUUGCGGACAGUGUCUGGUGGGUAGUUUGACUGGGGCGGUCUCCUCCCAAAGCGUAACGGAGGAGCACGAAGGUUAGCUAAUCCUGGUCGGACAUCAGGAGGUUAGUGCAAUGGCAUAAGCUAGCUUGACUGCGAGCGUGACGGCGCGAGCAGGUGCGAAAGCAGGUCAUAGUGAUCCGGUGGUUCUGAAUGGAAGGGCCAUCGCUCAACGGAUAAAAGGUACUCCGGGGAUAACAGGCUGAUACCGCCCAAGAGUUCAUAUCGACGGCGGUGUUUGGCACCUCGAUGUCGGCUCAUCACAUCCUGGGGCUGAAGUAGGUCCCAAGGGUAUGGCUGUUCGCCAUUUAAAGUGGUACGCGAGCUGGGUUUAGAACGUCGUGAGACAGUUCGGUCCCUAUCUGCCGUGGGCGCUGGAGAAUUGAGGGGGGCUGCUCCUAGUACGAGAGGACCGGAGUGGACGCAUCACUGGUGUUCGGGUUGUCAUGCCAAUGGCACUGCCCGGUAGCUAAAUGCGGAAGAGAUAAGUGCUGAAAGCAUCUAAGCACGAAACUUGCCCCGAGAUGAGUUCUCCCUGAGACUUUAAGUCUCCUGAAGGAACGUUAAAGACGAUGACGUUGAUAGGCCGGGUGUGUAAGCGCAGCGAUGCGUUGAGCUAACCGGUACUAAUGAACCGUGAGGCUUAACCUUACAACGCCGAAG